AUGCCACCGGAUAGAGACAUUGAGUUUUUGAUUGAACUUUUGCCAGGCACUGGGCCAAUAUCAAAGAGACCAUAUAGGAUGCCAGCAAAAGAUUUGGUGGAAAUUAAGAAACAGAUUAAGGAGUUACUGGAUAAGGGAUAUAUUCGCCCAAGUUCUUCGCCUUGGGGAUCACCAGUACUUCUAGUAGAGAAGAAGGAUGGAUCGUUAAGGAUGGUUGUUGACUAUCGAGGAUUGAAUGAAGUAACAAUCAAGAACAAGUACCUGCUACCAAUGAUCAAUGACCUGUUUGAUCGAUUGCAAGGAGCUAAAGUGUUUUCCAAGAUCGAUUUACGGUCAGGGUACCAUCAGCUGAAGAUUCGAGAGCAGGAUAUUCCGAAGACAGAUUUCACCACAAGAUAUGGACUGUAUGAGUAUACCGUUAUGUCAUUUGGACUGACUAACGCGCCUGCCUAUUUUAUGAACAUGAUGAACAAAGUGUUUAUGGAGUUUUUGGAUAAGUUCGUCGUAGUGUUCAUUGAUGAUAUCCUGGUAUAUUCAAAGAAUGAAGAAGAACAUAAGGAGCAUUUGCGUUUGGUACUUGGAAAGCUCAGAGAA
rnacentral:rRNA from 1 species